AGAAAAUCUGCUCCCACCUCAGGUACUUCUUUGCCUGAAACUGGCAUUCCUAUUUAUUUUCCAUUUUGAACAAUCUGAUUUUAUUUUAAGCCUCUUAUUCUGGUGGGAUUUCAGCAAAGUGAGCACACCCAGAGUCACACUGAUGAAAUGACAGAAUCCUGGAAGCAGGUGGACAGUUCCCGCAGCACUCCACAUCUGUGUGGUCUGCCUCAGGGUUUGGGUGGCAGCAGCUGAGACGGCUGGCGGUAGCCUGGGCCACUCUUACUAUUGAGCUCAAGUUCUGUUCUUUCAGUAAUUUUUUUCAAAAUGGGUCUAAGAUUACAAUUAUGUAG
rnacentral:lncRNA from 1 species